rnacentral:misc_RNA from 1 species
GGUCAGUAAUUACCAACGAAUCUUUUCGUCGAUAUUGUUUUGAUUUGGUCGCUAAUUUUACUGCCAAUGUUAGGCGUUACUUUUACCUAUGAAAUUGUGUCGUCGGUAAAGAGUUCAUCGGUAAUCGGUCUGUAAUAUCAUCGAUAUAAAUUGGUUUAAAUUUUAUUUUUCUUUUUCAUCUGUAAAACAUCGGUAAAUUAUUAAUGAAAUUCUGUGGGCAGUAAUUCUCAUAGUUAUUUUUAA